rnacentral:rRNA from 1 species
AGUGAACGCUGGCGGUAGGCCUAACACACGCAAGUCGAACGGCAGCACAGGAGAGCUUGCUCCCUGGGUGGCGAGUGGCGGACGGGUGAGGAAUACAUCGGAAUCUACUUUUUCGUGGGGGAUAACGUAGGGAAACUUACGCUAAUACCGCAUACGACCUACGGGUGCAAGCAGGGGAUCUUCGGAACUUGCGCGAUUGAAUGAGCAGAUGUCGGAUUAGCUAGUUGGCGGGGUAGAGGCCCACCAAGGCGACGAUCCGAAGCUGGUCGGAGAGGAUGAUCAGCUACACUGGAACUGAGACACGGUCCAGACUCCUACGGGAGGCAGCAGUGGGGAAUAUUGGACAAUGGGCGCAAGCCUGAUCCAGCCAUACCGCGUGGGUGAAGAAGGCCUUCGGGUUGUAAAGCCCUUUUGUUGGGAAAGAAAUCCAGCUGGUUAAUACCCGGUUGGGAUGACGGUACCCAAAGAAUAAGCACCGGCUAACUUCGUGCCAGCCGCCGCUGUAA